AUACCUGUCUAACCUACAAAGCACAAAUUUUGAAAUAACACAGCUUAACUUUACAGUUUCAAGAUAUGUAAUUUCAACAUUUGUAUUUUCAAGAUAUGUAAUUUCAACAUUUGUAGUUUCAACAUUUGCAGUUUCAACAGUUGUAUUAACGACACUUGCAUUAUCAAGCCUUGCAUUAACAAGCCAUGCGUUAGCGAACUAUGACCAUAUUUGGGUUGAUGACGUUGAUCAUUAAUCCGGAAAACGCCGAGUUUGGUCCUACAAUGAUGUCUCCCGUCUCAAUAAAAAUAUCUCUUCUUGGGUGGAGUUUUUCAAGGGGAACUACUCCCAUUAUUUCCGUUCUUCAAACAGCAAAUGAAACUAGUUUAUAGGCAAAUUCAUUGAUUCUUUAGAAGCUCUAAAUGUAUCAGAGGUUUUUGAGAAAAAUGCUGAUAUAUUGGAAUCUGCAGGAUAUAAAAAGAUGUUGACAUUAGAAAACAAAAAAGAAGCCAUGUUAGCGAUUCGAUGCCAUUAUGGAUUUUAUCGUUUUUUGCCACCAUUACUGCAGUUCAUAGAAGGUCUCAAACUUCAUGGUGUUUAUAAAUUAUUAAUGCAGUAUUCAGCAGAAGCCACCGAAUACUUUAGCCGGACAGAUGUUAAGGCUUUGGAUGUAAUUAAUUUGUUUCAUCCUAGUUUCUCAAUUAAACCAGAAGACAAGGAGUUAGAAGAGAUAAUUGUGUACAAUUUUCAUCAGUUUUUGAAGAAACUUGAACGUGGAAAAAUCAGUACCCAGUGGUUGGAUAUGGAAACAGAUCUCGAAGAUGAUGUUCAACUGAAUACUGGACAUUUUCUUCUGGCAACAACUGGUAGCCCUGCCAUAUCUCCAAAUAUAGGAGAUGGGCUACUACUAUUUGACCAUGAAAAUUUAAACUGCACUACAGUAAAUACAUGUGCGCCAUCUAUUACUAUUAACCAAACGAAAUAUAUGAAAGAAUACGAUUUCCUAGAAAAUGCUUUUAUUAACAUAAUUGUAUGUGCUUAUGGUUUUGGUUUGAAUUGAAAAUGUAUGUAGCAUGAACUGGGCCUCUGUUGGUGAAAUACCCAAUAAAAACCUAUUAAUUGAAAAAAAGCAGUGUUGAUUUCCUAAUUCAUUUCAUGAUAAUUAGAAAUGAAAUUUACGGUUGCAAGAAACAAGUCCAUUCCCUGAUUUUCUGAAUCGAAUAAAGGAUUUAUUUGGCACAUCAAUUCUUCCAUCUUUUGAUCAGUUAAAGAUAUAGGAAAAUGACCAAUAACAACUCUUUCUGGUUCAUCAUCAUAUGCCAUCAAACCAUUUUGUAUUGUUCCGUAACUUUGAAAGUCUGCCUAUAAAAAAAUAUUUAAAAUCUAAUGAACGUCUGUUUGGGAUUGAAUUUAUAGGUUUAUUUAAGAUAUAAGUUUAUUUCAUAUUGUAAACAAGAAUUUUAACGAAACUUGCUGUAGUUGUUUAUACCAGCAUAAGGAAGAAGCCUAUCGAAAUUCAAUGUUUUCCAGAGUUAUUGACCUUGAUUCACGAAACCUUGUAAACGUGAUAGAGACCAGAGUUGCUGUAAUUGUUUAUAAAAAUGGCGAAAAUUAGGUCAAGUCACAAAAUCAUCUGAUUCUGACGAAGCAAGCAAUUAAUUAUAUAUUAUUGAGGUCACUGAUUAUGAAUAUGCUAGUUUAAAAGUUGUAUCUUAUCUUUGAAAAGGUUGAAAGUUUCAUUUUACUAGUUAUUGUGCAUGCCCAUAAAAACUUCUUCUUUACACGAUAGAGAUCACAGUUCUCAACGAAAAGUUUUGAAACUUUCUGGGAUAUAAUAACAGUUGUUGGGGUGUAUAAGGUUGGAGACUUCUAUCUUAUCAUUAACAGAUUAAAUCAUUUGUUUGCUAUGGAAAUUAAAAUAUCCCAAAAUCUCACCCUCCAAUUUUUGAAUAUUUUUAGGCAUAAUCUUAACCACUGUCAAAAAAUGAAAGAUUAUAUUAAUCUGGAUUUCUUGAAUAAACAUAUCAAUGAAAAUA